rnacentral:lncRNA from 1 species
UCAGAUUAUUUAACAUUUAAAAAUCUUUUAAAUUAUAGUGAAAAAUUCAAUAUGCUAUCUAAACUUUAAAAAUCUCUCCUUUAUUUUAGUUUUAGGUCGACAAAGGAGGAUUUCGUUGCUUGAUCAUGACGAUCGUUACCUGCUCUUUUCUCUGGUUUAACCAAAUAGAGUUGGUUUCCCAGUCAAAAUCUGAGCUCACUAGGUGCUUUCGGGCUUUGAUCUUUCUUCUUAUAUUUUAAUUUGAUAUCUGAACCAUAUUUUAAUUUUUUUUU